AUUUUGAUUUUUAGUUACGUAGACAUUUAUGAGCGAACUAAGAUGGUAUCACAUUACAGUCUGUUUAGAUCACAUCUUUGGACACAAUUGCAGCUUGAGCUGCAAGGACUGAAUGAAUGGAGGACAGUGCCAGGAAGGAGUGAAUGCUCCUGCCCAGCAGGUUGGGGUGUCAUUCCUUGUAAUGAAAACUGUCCCAAGGGUGCCUACGGAGCUGGCUGCACUUCAGAAUGUCAGUGUGUGGAGGAGAAUACCCUGGAAUGCAGUGCCAAAAAUGGUAGUUGCACCUGCAAAUCUGGUUACCAAGGCAACAGAUGCCAGAAAGAUGGCCUCUGGGGACCAGAGGGCUGGUUCUCCUCUGCACCCUGUGAAAAUGGAGGUCAGUGCAACAAAAAAACUGGAAAUUGUGACUGCACUCCUGAUUACACAAGAAAAUCCUGUACCAUAUGUAAGUCAUAAACCUAGACGAAAUAACCAACCAAGUUAAUAAAACUGUUAACGUUAAA
rnacentral:sRNA from 1 species